rnacentral:rRNA from 1 species
GACGUAGGGGGCGAGCGUUAUUCGGAAUUAUUGGGCGUAAAGCGCUCGUAGACGGUAGCGUAAGUCAGAUGUGAAAGCCCCGGGCUCAACCUGGGAAUUGCAUUUGAGACUGCUCUGCUCGGGUGCGGAAGAGGGAAGCGGAAUUUCCGGUGUAGCGGUGAAAUGCGUAGAUAUCGGAAGGAACACCAGUGGCGAAAGCGGCUUCCUGGUCCGACACCGACGUUCAGGCACGAAAGCGUGGGGAGCAAACAGG